UUUUUUCUCCCCCUGCAGGUAUCCUUUUGCACUAUCCAAAAGUUCCAUGUAUACAGUGGGAGCCCCUCAUACUUGGCCUCACAUUGUAGCAGCCUUGGUUUGGCUAAUAGACUGCAUCAGGGUAUUUGGUUUCACCUUUUAAAUGUACGCAUAGGAAAGUUUGGGUUUUUUCUCUAAAAGGUAGUCCUAUUUCUCUCCCAGUCUUGCUUUUGCCACUUAUCUCAAGUCUGCUUCAAAGUUUUCAUUUUUCAAAGUACAUUUAAGUUCCUGAGACUAUCAACGUAUGUCAUGAGAGGUGAGGGAGAUAAAGUUCAUGUUGGAAAAGAAGCUGGGACUACAAGUUCUCCCCACUAUACCCAGCUAUUCCUUUAAUUUCCCUCUUUAGGGUUCCUCCAUACAGACAAUUGUCAAGAUUAAACAAAUCAAAACCUCACACACUCUAGGCAAGCACUCUGCAACUAAUCUAUACUCCCAGCCGCAUUGUUUUUAAUAGUUGGCAAUAUAACAAGUAAAAAAAAAGAUAAAUAAUAUUUUCACAUUUGCAUUUUGUGCUAUUUUAUUUGUUUUUGUUGUUGUCGUUUGUUUUAACUGUGUUAGGGAUCAAUUCCAGGUGAUUGUUAGGUAAACAGUCUAUCAUUGAGCUAUAUCCAACCCAAGAUUGUCAUUGUCUAGUUCAAAAAUAAUUAAUUUAGGGCUGAAAACAUAGCUCAGUGGUUGACCACUUGCCUAGCAUACAUGAGACCCUGGCUUCCAUCCCUAGCACUACAAAAAAACAAAAACAAAAACAAAAAAACAUAUAAAGAAAUUAGCCCCUGUCUAUAUUCCCUGUUUUUUCCUUUUGAUAUUAUGUACUAUGUUUUGACUAUUCUGAAUUAUGAAUUUUCAUCUAGUCUAAUGUUGUCUCUUUCUUUUGUAGCUUCUGAGUUUCCUGUCCUACUUAGCAAUAGAAUUCUUAAAACCAGUAUGGUCCCCUGACAUUUUCUUGGUCAUCAAAAGCCCUUAAGUAAAUGUAAGUAGGCAGUGGGUGGAUGGAUUUUGACCCAAGAACCAUGCUAGUACAUGGAGCAUCAGCAGUUGUAAAAAAAAA
rnacentral:lncRNA from 1 species